AAAGGGGAAGGAAAUAUGUAAUGACACAAGAUGCGUAGAAGUUGAUGUGAAUCGGGUUUUUCCUAAGUAAUGUGACGAGUAAGAACAGAGUAGGAUGAUGAACAAGAAGAAGAACGGACAAGACGCCUUAGAGGACGACGCUAGGCUAGCGACGACAGAGGACUGUGCCCUUUUUAUUGUUUAUUAAAUUGUUGAAGUUA
rnacentral:sRNA from 1 species